rnacentral:lncRNA from 1 species
AAGUGUCGUCUGCUUCGUUUAGUUUUGACUUAGAGUUGAGACCGCGAAGCAUAUGCCAACAAAGUUUGAGAAUAUAAAGAAAACGGAACGAUAUCUAUUUUGAAAAUGUACGUGGCUGCACGAAAUAAUAAUGAAAAAAACAAAAAACAAAACAAGAACAAAUCAAUACGAAAAUGUGAUCGGCUCGUGUGAUGUGUCUGGUCUCUGAUGUCGUAGCUCUCCAUGCUCUCCACUCGAUGCUUUUUGGCGGAUUUGAGGCCAGAGCCAGCCAUCGUAACAACAUAUGAUACACAAGUUCUGGGUCUGUCAUCAGUCUGUCUGUCUCACCUGUCAUCACCAAAUAUGUCAGCAUCACCGCUUAGAUACACAGCAUCCCCUUGCAUUGGAAAAACUACCGAUGUCAAUCAAGUUACGGAUCUCUCUUUUUCCCCUUUCUUUCAAUGUCCUCGUGUACGCCCAUGUGAAUAUGGGUGUAUUCACGAGGACACCCUUUACCCUAUCCCGCCUAGCUGUAUUUCCCAGGCAUAAAGGUAGGACAAAAUUGAUCUCUAUUUUUUCUUUUUGACAAUUUUGGAUGGCGCUCAUUAUAAAUCGAUCGUUAGUACAGACUACGUUUAUUCGUGAGCUAGGCGGUUGACUGCAACUGUUUUUUCUCUCUGAUUUUUUUUUUCUCAGCAUUAAAAAUCUCAUUUGCCGAACGACUGCGCAGAUCAGCUGAUCAGGCCUGUUUUGGUACCUUACAACUUUUUCUGUUGAGUAAACCAUCACAUUUGAAGAUAUUUGAACUUGAAACAAUUGAAGCAAAGUGCAGCAAGGCCAUUUUUUUUACCAAGAGGGACCUGCCGCCACCCCCUCGUUCGUUUUCACAACGGUGCCGAUCCCCUAUUUCCCCCCUUUGUCUUCUGAAGUCAAAAAGGCCAUUUUUUAAAGAGCAUUAACUCAAGACAUGGGAUGUUAAGAAAACAAACUUGUCCAUCGAAAACAGUUCCACACAGAGAUAGAUUACUUAACAGAAAAUGACGCCAUAAACCUGUCGUGAGCUUAGCUCAUCAUCUUCUACAAGCAUGAAGGAGCUACAAGCAAAUGUAACAUUCAACCUAAUUUUUGUUAAAACAUUUUGCAGCAAAAGUCUUUGAAAAAGUAAUGAAACUGAAAAAAAAAUUUGGUGGUGAGCGUCGGCAUUUAUUUACAUUGCCAUAUAAAUUCGAAUCGUAUAACUUUUCUUGCUUCAAGGAACAAUAACUUAAUAGAUCUUGUAGCCCUUUCCGUUGAAUGGAAUGUGGACUGGAGCAACGGGGAGUUCGUAUUCGUGGACGGGGGCAACGGGGAGAACGUACUCAUGGACUGGGGCAACUGGGAGCUCGUAGACGUGGACGGGAGCGACGGGCAAGUGGUCACCCUUUGGCUGGAAUCCGGCAUCAUCGGCGACCCAGGUCAAAGUGAAUUUCUCGCCUUCAGGGGAAACCCAGUAGGAGGAUCCUUGGUUGGUGUUUCCGUAGACUUCCUCUUUGGUUUCUUUGCCGUAAUCAUCGACGGUGGUGACGG